GAUGAACGCUGACAGAAUGCUUAACACAUGCAAGUCCACUUGAACUUCGGUUUGUGUGGCGGACGGGUGAGUAACGCGUAAAGAACUUGCCUCACAGAUAGGGACAACAUUUGGAAACGAAUGCUAAUACCUGAUAUUAUGAUUAUAUGGCAUCGUAUAAUUAUGAAAGCUAUAUGCGCUGUGAGAGAGCUUUGCGUCCCAUUAGCUAGUUGGAGAGGUAACGGCUCACCAAGGCGAUGAUGGGUAGCCGGCCUGAGAGGGUGAUCGGCCACAAGGGGCCUGAGACACGGCCCUGACUCAUUCGGGAGGCAGCAGUGGGGAAUAUUGGACAAUGGACCAAGAGUGUGAUCCAGGAAUUCUGUGUGCACGAUGAAGUUUUUCGGAAUGUAAAGUGCUUUCAGUUGGGAAGAAAAAAAUGACGGUACCAACAGAAGAAGUGACGGCUAAAUACGUG
rnacentral:rRNA from 1 species